GGGACAGGCACUUAGCUAACGGAUGGAAACAUCUGAGGAAAGUCCGCCCUCCCCUCGAAAGAGGACAAAGCCACCCUUUGGGAUCCGGCAACGGAUGGCAACCGCACAGAAACGAGACCCCCUCGGUCUAGGAGGAGGCACGCGAAGGUCCCGGCAACGGAACUCAGUUAACCUGCCGACGUUGUCCGAGGAAUGGCUAAAACGGCGAGCCCUGGCUGGAGCAAGUCAUUCGACGCUUAGUUCAAUGCUAAGGAGGCCAUCGAAGCACUCGCUUGGUAACGGGCCUUACAGAAGGCGGCUUAUCCCUGUCCU
rfam:Parcubacteria (Magasanikbacteria) bacterium GW2011_GWA2_56_11 TY92_C0014, whole genome shotgun sequence.